AUUCCAUGAUGAGGACACUUACGAAGUAACUCCUUGAACCUCUCCCAAGCCUCACACAAAGACUCGUCAUCUAAUUAUCAAAAAGUGUGAUCUCAUUCCUCAACUU
rfam:Gossypium hirsutum cultivar TM-1 chromosome 1, whole genome shotgun sequence